rnacentral:rRNA from 1 species
AACGCGUAGGUAAUCUACCCUUAUACCUGGGAUGACAUUGGGAAACUGGUGCUAAUACCGGAUACACUUCUUUGCUGCGGGGCAAAGGAGGAAAGGUGGCCUCUUCAUGAAAGCUACCGUAUAUGGAUGAGCCUGCGUACCAUUAGCUAGUAGGUAGGGUAACGGCCUACCUAGGCCACGAUGGUUAGCGGGUCUGAGAGGAUGAUCCGCCACACUGGAACUGGAACACGGACCAG